CGAACAGAUAAGGAGCUUGCUCCUUUGACGUUAGCGGCGGACGGGUGAGUAACACGUGGAUAACCUACCUAUAAGACUGGGAUAACUUCGGGAAACCGGAGCUAAUACCGGAUAAGAUUUUGAACCGCAUGGUUCAAUAGUGAAAGACGGCCUUGCUGUCACUUAUAGAUGGAUCCGCGCCGUAUUAGCUAGUUGGUAAGGUAACGGCUUACCAAGGCAACGAUACGUAGCCGACCUGAGAGGGUGAUCGGCCACACUGGAACUGAGACACGGUCCAGACUCCUACGGGAGGCAGCAGUAGGGAAUCUUCCGCAAUGGGCGAAAGCCUGACGGAGCAACGCCGCGUGAGUGAUGAAGGUCUUCGGAUCGUAAAACUCUGUUAUCAGGGAAGAACAAACGUGUAAGUAACUGUGCACGUCUUGACGGUACCUGAUCAGAAAG
rnacentral:rRNA from 1 species